rnacentral:misc_RNA from 1 species
AAGUCGUAACAAGGUUUCCGUAGGUGAACCUGCGGAAGGAUCAUUAACACGUAUCCAAACGUUAAACCCCCCCCGUGAACCUUCAUCGUGCUCUAGUGGGCCACUGAUAAACACAGCAAUUCCUGGUAAAUCAUUGUCUGAACAAGCCUUUGAGUCAGGAACCUCUGUGCAGUGCGAGCUACACCCACUAUAGAAGCGCUAGUUCCAUCGGCAUUGUUUCCCCAAGCAGUCAGUGCGUGAAAGUGGCAACUGACUGUGCAAGGAUAACGCUUAACGAUUUUGCAGCCGCAACACGCGGGCAGAGCUGCCGAUUUCACAUACAAAGCUCCAUUUUCAAUUAUGGAUGGGGUAAAACCGAACAACUGUUAACAAUGGAUAUCUUGGUUCUC